rnacentral:rRNA from 1 species
GACGAACCGUCCGCACGUUCUUCGGAAUUAUUGGGCUUAAAGGGGGCGUAGUCGGCGCUGUAAGUCAGGUGUGAAAUCCCACGGCUCAACCGUGGAAUGGCGCCCGAUACUGCAGUGCUCGAGGGAGACAGAGGUAAGCGGAACUGAUGGUGGAGCGGUGAAAUGCGUUGAUAUCAUCAGGAACACCAGUGGCGAAAGCGGCUUACUGGGUCUCUUCUGACGCUGAGGCAAGAAAGCUAGGGUAGCGAACGGG